AGCGAACGCUGGCGGCAGGCUUAACACAUGCAAGUCGAGCGGGCACUUUCGGGUGUCAGCGGCGGACGGGUGAGUAACGCGUGGGAACGUGCCCUCUGGUUCGGAAUAACUCAGGGAAACUUGAGCUAAUACCGGAUACGCCCUUUUGGGGAAAGGCUUGCUGCCGGAGGAUCGGCCCGCGUCUGAUUAGCUAGUUGGUGAGGUAACGGCUCACCAAGGCGACGAUCAGUAGCUGGUCUGAGAGGAUGAUCAGCCACACUGGGACUGAGACACGGCCCAGACUCCUACGGGAGGCAGCAGUGGGGAAUAUUGGACAAUGGGCGCAAGCCUGAUCCAGCCAUGCCGCGUGAGUGAUGAAGGCCUUAGGGUUGUAAAGCUCUUUUAUCCGGGACGAUAAUGACGGUACCGGAGGAAUAAGCCCCAGCUAACUUCGU
rnacentral:rRNA from 1 species